GGUGUGGCUCAGUUUGGUAGAGCGCUUGGUUCGGGACCAAGAGGCCGUGGGUUCGAAUCCCGCCACU
rnacentral:tRNA from 3 species